GGGCCUCUAGCUCAACUGGCAGAGCAGCGGACUUUUAAUCCGCGGGUUGUGGGUUCAAGUCCCACGGGGCCUACUA
rnacentral:tRNA from 1 species